rnacentral:rRNA from 1 species
CCCUUAGAUGUUCUGGGCCGCACGCGCGCUACACUGAUACAUGCAACGAGUUUAUAACCUUGAUCUGACGGUCUGGGUAAUCUUCAAACUGUAUCGUGUUAGGGAUCGAUUCUUGCAAUUUUUAAUCGUAAACGAGGAAUUCCUAGUAAACGCAAGUCAUCAGCUUGCAUUGAUUACGUCCCUGCCCUUUGUACACACCGCCCGCCGACUCUACCGAUUGAAUGGUUCGGUGAAAACUUUGGACUGUGGCAUUGUCCUUCAUUGGACUUCGCCGUAGGAAAUUGUUUAAACCUCAUCAUUUAGAGGAAGAAUAAGUCGUAACA